GACCUACAUUCACUAUUAAGGUAACAUUUACCAUCUUAUGAGAUAAACAUAAAAAGCUAUGACUGAAAUUAAAUUUGUAAUAACCUAAAUACAGUUAUCACUAGUAUAUUGUAUCAAGCUAUGACAUUACCUUGCACUUUGUAAAUACAUGUGUUUCACAAACCACGCCUCUUUUGGGAUAUAUACUAUUGCUAGAUGUUUUGUUUACCAACUGGUUUCCAUAUAUGAUAUGUAUGUUGCAUCUCAAAGGAACACAACUUGCGAACUUUACCAGUAUGAAUGCACAUAGAUAGUGGCCAAAUUGAAUAUGAGAAGGACCAAAUGUUAAGUAAGAGGAAGUACAUACUUUCAGUAUAGGUUUAAAUUCUUGGAAGUUAGAGGCAUAUAUGUAGGACUCAAAUCUAUGGCGGGUUCCAAAUCUAUGGCAGAUUCCUAAUCUAUGGCAAAUAUGACGUUACAAACGCCAAACAACUCAAAUCUAUGGCAGAUUUUUGUUUUCUCCAAAUCUAUGGCAGAUUUAGAAAUUGCGUAAUUUUCCGGGAAAAGAGUAAAAUAUAACGUCACAAUAAAAUAACGCUGACUUCAGCAAAGUUGUUGGCUCUCCAAACUUUCCUGAAGUACUGUGUUUAAAAAACGCAGGAAAACAAACUUUCCGCUUUUCCCCUAGAACAAUUUGCAGAUGUGAUGUUUUAUCCAUAGGAGGAACAAUAUUUAAGUGAUAUACCGUCCGAAUCCCACGAUCAAGAAAGGCACAGCUGCUUUUAGAAGUGGAUAUUUUGGGAAAGUAGUUAUAGUAAACAUCUUAAAUGUAGCGUGUACGGCUGGGAAAGUAUUCAAAGUGAGAAAAUGAAAUUACAAAUCGUCAACAGUUAAAAAAAGAUUGAUUAAAGCUGAAAUAAAUAUUAUGUGAAAAGUCAAACUGUUAUUUUUUUUCUGAUUUCUGUAUUAUAGGAUUCUAUGGUUGACAUUACAAUUUGGUUGGCCAUUAUGUAAUUUGUAUUUCCCAAAUGAUUAUAGACAUGCUCCCGUUUACGUACAUUUCAACUUAUUUAAGACAAGUCGUUGAUUGUAUAUAUAUGUACUGCCUAGUUGUACCUUUGCACAAAAUCUGCCAUCGAUUUGGAAACAACAAACAUCCGCCAUAGAUUAGGAAACUACAAAACUUGCCAUAGAUUAGGAUUUUUUUUUAAAUCUGCCAUAGAUUUGGGAUAGCAUGACGUCACAUCUACCAUAGAUUAGGAAUCUGCCAUAGAUCUGGAACCCACCAUAGAUUUGAGUCCUACAUAUAUUUUAUAUUUAUACCUGUCAACCUCUGAAACCUUCACAAAGAGGGAGAUCUGCCCCUCAGCUAUGACAGCUGAGUGGGAUAUUUUGCGCUAACGACAUUUCAUAUGACCUGUUUAUUUAUUCAUCUACAAAACAAAUAUAAGAGUUAAUAGAUACACUUAAUUUCUUUAUAUAAGGUUAUAUCUUAUACUAGUUGUGUAGUUUGUUUCUUUACUUUUUUUUUUUUAUAAGAUUUGACAUAUGCCUCCCAAUCAGGACACCUUUGUAAUAAGUUAUCUCUAUUUCAAUUUUUCCAUAUUGUCAUAGAUGGUGCAUUAUGUGUAUGCACAUUCACUUUUCAUUAAUUUUGGUUCAAUACAUUUCUUAUAAAUUUCAUUUCAAACAUUUAAUAGAAGUAUAAUUCUUUAAAGUGAUUUUUAAAAUAUUAUAUGAUGUUGUGUGCUAAGGCAUACAAAUUUAUUUAAGGUGGUACCUAACACUACAGGGAAAUAACUCUGUAAAAUCAGCUAAACGUUUUAAUUACGUUGCGUUGUUAAGGGAAUAUUAAGCUUUUC
rnacentral:lncRNA from 1 species